rnacentral:misc_RNA from 1 species
CAACCCUCAAACCUCGGCUUGGUGUUGGGGCGCCCGGGCCCUCCGCGGCCCGGGGCCCCCAAGUUCAUCGGCGGGCUCGUCGGUACACUGAGCGCAGUAAAACGCGGUAAAACGCGAACCUCGUUCGGAUCGUCCCGGCGUGCUCCAACCGCUAAACCCCCAAUUUUUUAAAGG